UACGUAGGGUGCAAGCGUUAAUCGGAAUUACUGGGCGUAAAGCGUGCGCAGGCGGUUUUGUAAGUCUGACGUGAAAUCCCCGGGCUCAACCUGGGAAUUGCGUUGGAGACUGCAAGGCUGGAGUCUGGCAGAGGGGGGUAGAAUUCCACGUGUAGCAGUGAAAUGCGUAGAGAUGUGGAGGAACACCGAUGUCGAAGGCAGCCCCCUGGGUCAAGACUGACGCUCAUGCACGAAAGCGUGGGGAGCAAACAGG
rnacentral:rRNA from 1 species